GGCGGCGACGACUACGACGACGAGGAGAGAGGACGGAGGCGGCGCCUGCAGCAGCCGUGGAGCUCAUGCCCGGGGACGGCGGGCUGACCCGGAGAGACGAGUCCGGGGCCCGGGGCAUGUCCCCGGGGCCCCCGUGAGGAGGCGGCGGCGGCGAUGGAGCUCCCGCCGCAGGAGGCAUUGCCCGGGCCGGGCGCGGAUGGCGACGCCGAGGAGGCCCCCGCCGAGGCCCGGCCCCCCAGCCCCGCAUCACCCCCAGCCGACGGUCGCCUCAAGGCUGCGGCCAAGCGCGUCACCUUCCCUUCCGACGAAGACAUCGUGUCCGGAGCAGUGGAGCCCAAAGAUCCCUGGAGACACGCCCAGAACGUGACCGUGGAUGAGGUCGUUGGCGCCUACAAGCAGGCCUGCCAGAAGCUCAACUGCAGGCAGAUCCCCAAGCUCCUCCGGCAGCUCCAGGAGUUCACGGACCUUGGACACCGCAUCGACUGUCUGGACCUGAAAGGUGAGAAGCUUGACUACAAGACGUGCGAGGCCCUGGAGGAGGUCUUCAAGAGGCUGCAGUUCAGGGUUGUGGACCUGGAGCAAACUAACCUUGACGAAGAUGGUGCCUCAGCCCUCUUUGACAUGAUCGAGUACUACGAGUCGGCCACCCACCUCAACAUCUCCUUCAACAAGCACAUCGGCACCCGUGGCUGGCAGGCUGCCGCCCACAUGAUGCGCAAGACGAGCUGCCUGCAGUAUCUGGACGCCCGCAACACGCCGCUGCUGGACCACUCGGCACCCUUCGUGGCUCGUGCCCUGCGCAUCCGCAGCAGCCUAGCCGUGCUGCACCUGGAGAACGCCUGCCUUACGGGCCGGCCCCUCAUGCUGCUCGCCACUGCCCUGAAGAUGAACAUGAAUCUGCGGGAGCUCUACCUGGCCGACAACAAGCUCAACGGCCUGCAGGACUCGGCACAGCUGGGCAACCUGCUCAAGUUCAACUGCUCCCUGCAGAUCCUGGACCUCCGCAACAACCACGUGCUGGACUCAGGCCUGGCCUACAUCUGUGAGGGUCUCAAGGAGCAAAGGAAAGGGCUGGCAACCCUGGUGCUGUGGAACAACCAGCUCACACACACAGGCAUGGCCUUCCUGGGCAUGACACUGCCACACACGCAGAGCCUGGAGACACUGAACCUGGGCCACAACCCCAUUGGGAAUGAGGGCGUGCGGAACCUCAAGAACGGCCUCAUCGGCAACCGCAGCGUGCUGCGCCUGGGCUUGGCCUCCACCAAGCUCACAUGCGAGGGUGCAGUGGCCGUGGCAGAGUUCAUCGCCGAGAGCCCCCGCCUCCUGAGACUGGACCUGCGGGAGAACGAGAUCAAAACCGGUGGACUCAUGGCGCUGUCCUUGGCUCUCAAGGUGAACCACUCCCUGCUGCGCCUGGACCUGGACCGCGAGCCCAAGAAGGAGGCGGUGAAGAGCUUCAUCGAGACACAGAAGGCCCUGCUGGCCGAGAUCCAGAACGGCUGCAAGCGUAACUUCGUGCUGGCGCGGGAGCAGGAGGAGAAGGAGCAGCGGCUGCAGCUGUCAGCCUCCAUGCCCGAGAUCACCGUCACCGAGCCGCAGCCCGGCGAGAGCCCGCCGCCGAGGCCCAGGAGAACGGGGUGCCGGAGCCCACGGAGCCCGGGCCCGACUCGGACUCAGACUCUGAGGGGGACGAUGAGGAGGAGGAGGAGGACGGGCAGCACGAUGAGACCCCCGAUGGCCAGAGCCCCUCUGCUCCCUGCCCCAUCCUGGUGCCCCCCACGGACUCCCGGGGCCUUGGGGACAGGACCCCCUCGGGCAGCCCCACUUCUCCCACAGAACAGCGAAUUUCUGUGUCCAGCCCAGGCCGGGGCCACAAGGUGUUUGUGGUGACCCGGGUGGAGAGUCCACCUGAGAAGGCAGAGCCUCCCGCCUCCCCACCUCCGAACCCCUCCUCCCCAGUCCUCUCCUCUUCCCCUGCCUCCCCCUCCCCCUCCCCACUCGCUUCACCCUCCCAGUCACCAGCUGAGGCCAUCAGCACCCAGGACCCAGGGGCAUCUGAGCCUCAGCCACAGCUGGAGUCGCCUCCAUCAGGGCCACCGCUGCCCAAUGGCCUCAAGCCGGAGUUUGCCCUCGCACUGCCCCCGGAGCCACCCCCGGGGCCUGAGACCAAGGGGGGCAGCUGUGGCCUGGAGCACGAGCUGAGCUGCUCUAAAAAUGAGAAGGAGCUGGAGGAGCUGCUUCUGGAAGCCAGUCAGGAAUCUGGGCAGGAGACACUGUGACACUUUAG